UGAGGCGUGGCUUCCGGAGCUAACGCGUUAAGUCGACCGCCUGGGGAGUACGGCCGCAAGGUUAAAACUCAAAUGAAUUGACGGGGGCCCGCACAAGCGGUGGAGCAUGUGGUUUAAUUCGAUGCAACGCGAAGAACCUUACCUACUCUUGACAUCCAGAGAACUUUCCAGAGAUGGAUUGGUGCCUUCGGGAACUCUGAGACAGGUGCUGCAUGGCUGUCGUCAGCUCGUGUUGUGAAAUGUUGGGUUAAGUCCCGCAACGAGCGCAACCCUUAUCCUUUGUUGCCAGCGGUUAGGCCGGGAACUCAAAGGAGACUGCCAGUGAUAAACUGGAGGAAGGUGGGGAUGACGUCAAGUCAUCAUGGCCCUUACGAGUAGGGCUACACACGUGCUACAAUGGCGCAUACAAAGAGAAGCGACCUCGCGAGAGCAAGCGGACCUCAUAAAGUGCGUCGUAGUCCGGAUUGGAGUCUGCAACUCGACUCCAUGAAGUCGGAAUCGCUAGUAAUCGUAGAUCAGAAUGCUACGGUGAAUACGUUCCCGGGCCUUGUACACACCGCCCGUCACACCAUGGGAGUGGGUUGCAAAAGAAGUAGGUAGCUUAACCUUCGGGAGGGCGCUUACCACUUUGUGAUUCAUGACUGGGGUGAAGUCGUAACAAGGUAACCAAGGGCGAAUUCCAG
rnacentral:rRNA from 1 species